rnacentral:rRNA from 1 species
UACGAAGGGGGCUAGCGUUGUUCGGAUUUACUGGGCGUAAAGCGCACGUAGGCGGAUACUUAAGUUAGGGGUGAAAUCCCAGGGCUCAACCCUGGAACUGCCUCUAAUACUGGGUAUCUCGAGUCCGAGAGAGGUGAGUGGAAUUCCGAGUGUAGAGGUGAAAUUCGUAGAUAUUCGGAGGAACACCAGUGGCGAAGGCGGCUCACUGGCUCGGUACUGACGCUGAGGUGCGAAGGCCAGGGGAGCAAACGGG